AGGGUUCGAUUCUGGCUCAGGAUGAACGCUGGCGGCGUGCCUAACACAUGCAAGUCGAGCGGAGAUAGGUUGAAGCCUAGCGAUUCUUAUCUUAGCGGCGGAUGGGUGAGUAACACGUGGGUAACCUGCCCUGUACUGGGGGAUAACAGCUGGAAACGGCUGUUAAUACCGCAUAUGCGCACGGAGCCGCAUGGCCCUGGGCGGAAAGAUUCAUCGGUACAGGAUGGGCCCGCGCCGGAUUAACUUGUUGGCGGGGUAACGGCCCACCAAGGUGAUGAUCCGUAGCCGACCUGAGAGGGUGACCGGCCACAUUGGGACUGAGACACGGCCCAAACUCCUACGGGAGGCAGCAGUGGGGGAUAUUGCACAAUGGGGGAAACCCUGAUGCAGCGACGCCGCGUGAAGGAAGAAGUAUUUCGGUAUGUAAACUUCUAUCAGCGGGGAAGAAGAUGACGGUACCCGCACAAGAAGCCCCGGCUAACUACGUGCCAGCCGCCGC
rnacentral:rRNA from 1 species